UUCCACCUAUUGGAUAAUUCUCUAUCUUAUUAAUUCCUCUACUAAUUAAGUUAUAAAUAAUUACAAAUUAUAAUUAAUUAAUACAAUUAAUUUUUUUAUAAUUAACUAAUUAUUUAUUUAACUUAUUAAAUUAAUAAAUAUUUAAAUAAUAAUUUAUUUAUAAUUUAUAAUUAAUUAUCUAAUUAAAUAAUUAGGUAUUUGAUAUGCUUAUUCAAUCAUUAACUAGUAUUUAUAUUACUUAAAUAAUUAAUACUUUAAUUUAUCUAAUUAAUAUAUUCACUAGAAUAUAAAUAAUAAAAAAUUAAUUAAUAUUAACAUAUUGACUUAUUUUUAUAAUUAUUUACUAAUUAACAUCAUCUUCAUUUUCUCAUAUAGUAAUUUUAAUUAAUUAAUUUAUUAACUCAUUAAAAUAUUAUUUUACUGAUACUAAGAUGCUUUACAUAAUUUUUUUUUAUAUGCAAUUAAUCAUAAUUACUUUUAUUCCUACUAUUCCAACCCAAUCACCCAAACGUAAUUUUUCUUAUUUCUCUAAAUUUCUUAAUUCUCAUCCAAAUACAAAAUUGAACUAAUUCCUAUAUAUCCCACGAGCGAUACCUACUAAAAGAAUAA
rnacentral:lncRNA from 1 species